AAUCGCACUAGCUACAUAUAUUUAGCUGAAAAUACUUGAUGAAAUUGAAUGUUUCUUUGUAGCUAGCUAUCUAGCUUGGUUGUAGGCUGUAGGUUACAGUAGGCAAGUACAGUAACAUUGCAGUAGCUAGCUAACGUUACACCUUUACUGAAUGACAACAAUAUAGCGUAAACACUUGCUAGUUGGGCAUAGAAAUUGACAAAUGAACAUAUGGAGCGAUCACACAUACAUGCAGGUGUGGUGGUGUCACUUUUUAUUUUUUAGCUAUAUACCAGCUUUAUGUAGUGAAAAUACUCCAGCCUUUGGUGCUCCGGAGUGGCGUAGUGGUCUAACACCGAACCCAAGCCGGCUGCGCGCGUGCGCUAUCGUGCAUACAUGUAUUUUGUAGACCCACACCAAACGCGAUCACGACAUGCAGGUUAAAAUAUCAAAACAAACUCUCAACCAAUUAGCUUAAUUUGGGUACAGGUUGAAAAGCAUUAAACAUGUAUGCCAAUUUAGCUAGUUAGCUUGCACUUGCUAGCUAAUUUGUCCUAUUUAGCUAGCUUGCUGUUGCUAGCUCAUUUGUCCUGGGAUAUAAUCAUUGAGUUGUUAUUUUACCUGAAAUGCACAAGGUCCUCUACUCCGACAAUUAAACCACACAUAAAACGGUCAGCCAAAUCAUUUCUAGUCAUCUCGCCUCCUUCCAGGCUUUUUCAUAUUUGAACUUAUAUGGUGAUUGGCAUCUAAAAUUUCAUAGUAUUACUACACCGACCGGCAACACAUUUCGUCUUUCAAUCACCCACAUGGGUAUAACCAAUGAGGAGAUGGCACGUGGGUACCUGCUUCUAUAAACCAAUGAGGAGAUGGGAGAGGCAGGACUUGCAGCGCGAUCUGCGUCAGAAAUAGAAAGGACUUCUAUUUUACCCCGUGGCAUCGCAGACACUCGUUUGCGCGCGAGCAGUGUGGGUGCAUUAAUUGAAUAACAUGGAUUUCUAAAUUUAUUUUGCAACGCUCGCGCACGUGACGUAUCCGGUCUGGUCAGCAUUUAAGGCACUGCAUCUCAGUGCUAGACGCCUCACUACAGACACCCUGGUUCGAAUCCAGCUGUAUCACAACUGGCCGUGAUUGGGAGUCCCAUAGGGCAGCGCAGAAUUGGGCCAGCGUCGUCCAGGUUUGACCGGUAUAGGCCGUCAUUGUAAAUAAGAAUGAGUUAUUAACUGACUUGCCUAGUUAAAUAAAGGUUAAAUAAAAUAAACAGCAGGUCUCCCAUGAACAAAUGAUGUUGACCUCAAUGGGACAACCAGGUAAUUAAAGCUACAAUGUUCUGUGCAUUUUCACUAGAUAGAAGUGUGUCUUUCAGUGGAAGAUUUUCAAAAGAAAAUAGAUAAUGACAGUCUCUGCAAUUUUCAGUCAGAUGAGACACCUGGUCUCAUUCAUUUACAGAUUGAGAAUGAUUUCCAUAUCUGUUAUUGCUAACGGUGUAACUAUGUGUUGCUUUUAAUAAACACACAGCAAACCAAAAGCUGCCAACAUUGCAGUGGGUGCCGGAUAGACAAUGGUGGUAAAUAUCUCAGUCAAAUUGAAUUGAAUUCAUUAAUGCGGCCACUUAAUUUACUGUAUGGUUAUUGUUCUAAGUUAUGCAUACUUAAUGUGAAUGUUCCUUUACCCUAGGUCCUUCAUUCUCGAAUGUGAAGCCGACGGACCCUAGCAGGAAGGACCAGAGAAAAGUGUUUGCUUAAGGAGAGGAACGACAUGCAUGACCUUCUGGUUCUCCUCUCCACUGAGACCGAUCUGACCACAGCAGCGCAGGCCCAGCUCCAACAGACCGAUCUGACCACAGCAGCGCAGGCCCAGCUCCAACAGACCGAUCUGACCACAGCAGCGCUGGCCCAGCUCCAACAGACCGAUCUGACCACAGCAGCGCAGGCCCAGCUCCAACAGACCGAUCUGACCACAGCAGCGCAGGCCCAGCUCUAACAGACCGAUCUGACCACAGCAGCGCUGGCCCAGCUCCAACAGACCGAUCUGACCACAGCAGCGCAGGCCCAGCUCCAACAGACCGAUCUGACCACAGCAGCGCAGGCCCAGCUCUAACAGUGGUCUUCCCAACAGGCUGUCCUGUUCUGCUCCCCUUUGGCAACAGCUACUGCCACAACAAAAGAUGAUUGCUCUGAAGAGUACCUGCUGGAUACAGAUCUGCCAAGCACACCUCUGCCAGCCACACCACCACUGCCCUUCACAGCUUCUCCACUGGGCCCAUCAAGAGAUGAGGUCGCGUCUUCAUCUUGUACCACGGCCGAUGGACAGAGCCCAUUAGAGCUGCCAGUGAUAGGCUACUGGCCAAUCACCACGGGGAAGAAGAUAUCCUGAAGUGGGUGAAUCUGCUCUGCUCUUAACACCACCCCAGAGAAGCUCCUGGCGACACACAGCUGUGGCAUUAUGUUACUGUAGAGAGUGAAACAGUCAGUGUCCCAGUCAUGUCCUCAGUCAUGUCCCCUGCCACCUGUACUUACCCAGCAGAAGGCCUCACCUACUCAACGUUUCCAUUUGAGGAUUUAGCUUCCGCUGCCUUCUUUCAAUGGGAACUGGAGGCCUCGUAGCAGAGGGGGCAGUGAGGAAGGAGCGAACAGAGGAAAGAGAUGAGCAUCCCUCCGGCCGUCUGUACAGGUUUCUGCCAGCAGCCACUGAAACAAAUAUCCAACAGCCCAUAUCAGCUUUUCUUGAGUGGUAGGAAAAUAUCUACUGCCUAGUGUUUCCCCUGUACAUUGUACAGGGCAUUGGAGGGAGCUCCAACAGUCUGCCUUUUAUGAGGCUGAAAAGAAGAGAUGGAUGGUGGAGAAGGGUAGUGACUCUAUACACAGCUACACACAGAAAUAAAUAGGAGCUGCAAAUCUAUUGUCAUGGAAAUUACCACCAGGGACUCAAAGUCAAACUUAAAUGAAUCAUUCUUUAUUUUCAGUUAACUGGUUCCAACAAACUUAAUGCACCAUAGUACACGUCGGUCAGGAGCUCUGUCCCUCAAUUGUUUGUGGAUGAUGUGUCUUCUUUUGGGCAGCUCACAGUAAGGGUCUGGGUGGGUCCUCGUUGUUUUUUGGUCCUUCAUGCUUCAUGAAAUGUGCCACCGGUUUUUCUCACUGGAAAGCUCCGCAGGCAGAAUCAAUCAUCUGGUUCUUGAUGCUAAAUUGUCAUGAAAAUUACCACCAGGGACUCAAAGUCAAACUUAAAACUAAUCAUUAUUUAUUGUCAGUUAACUGGAGAAGUUCCAACAAACUUAAUGCACCAUAGUACACGUCGGUCGGGAGCUCUCCGGGGCAGUCCCGUUAGUUCUCUUAUAUACUGCUUACACAGACGAGUUAUAUUAGCAUGAUUUACAUUGUACAUUAUUCCUGAUGAAUUCAUUUGGUUAUUGCUUAAACUAUCAAAGGAGGUUCUAUUAAAUAUGUCAUUAUAAGUAAGCGAAAUGAACACAUAAAACCAGACACUUCAUCCUUUCAAACCCUUCAUUCUGUGUUGUCCAAUCCAACUUGUAAAACCAGUAGAAUGAACACAUAAAACCAGACACUUCAUCCUUUCAAACCCUUCAUUCUGUGUUGUCCAAUCCAACUUGUAAAACCAGUAGAAUGAACACAUAAAACCAGACACUUCAUCCUUUCAAACCCUUCAUUCUGUGUUGUCCAAUCCAACUUGUAAAACCAGUAGAAUGAACACAUAAAACCAGACACUUCAUCCUUUCAAACCCUUCAUUCUGUGUUGUCCAAUCCAACUUGUAAAACCAGUAGAAUGAACACAUAAAACCAGACACUUCAUCCUUUCAAACCCUUCAUUCUGUGUUGUCCAAUCCAACUUGUAAAACCAGUAGAAUGUUUUAUGCUUCACUACAGGCCACUAUUUCCAUUGAUGGAAGUGGUUUGGACUCUUGUUUGAUUUGUAUCUAUUUCACUGUUCAUUAUUUGACAUUUAAUCAGUACGGCCAGAGGAGGUGUGGUAUAUGGCCAAUAUACCACGGUUAAGGGCUGUUCUUAUGCAAGACACAACGCAGAGUGCCUGGACACAGCCUUAGCUGUGGUAUAAUGUCCAUAUAUCACACACCCCAGAGGUGCCUUAUUGCUAUUAUAAACUAGUUACCAAUGUAAUUAGAGCAGUAAUGCUACAUGUGCUUUCAGCCAAUCAGAAUUCAGGACUCAAACCACCCAGUUUAUAAUACUGAACAUAUAUUGCUGUAUAUUUUGUUGUACAAAGGAUUGUGCUCCAACACUAUCAUAAAUACAGUAUGUCUGUGAUUUCAUUAAAGUAAACCUCAAAGUAAAGUAAUAUUCUCUGAGUUGCUUCAAUGUUGUCUUUAUGAAUAAGAUACAUGCAUGUCCAUUGUUCUCCAACACUAUCAUAAAUAUGCCUAGUUAAACCUUAACUUAUACCAAUCUUCUCUUAGUUUUUCAUGUUGUCUUUAUAUGCAUAAAAAUGGAAAUGCAAUGUCCUCCAAAUGCAAAAUGUCCUCCAGCCAUUUCGGAAGUUUUACCUUUGAAAAGCAAUAUCCCAACUAUACAUAUAGUCAAGUACACACACAUUUUUUACAAAAGUGAUUUUUUUUUACACAACUUUUUAGGCAUUGAAGGGGCUGUUCUGAUGGGAAUCCGUGAUGUCAUAGCCUCCUUGAUUGAGGAACAAUAGAGGAGCAAAAGAGGAAUGCAUUUACAUUCAUAUAUCAAACUGUUUAUGCUAAACAGACCUAAAACCACUAUCCAGCUUUGUUGUAUGAAAAAAUGAACAAAUAGGUGUUGCUCAUAAAGCGUGUAACUGCCGAGGUGGAAUACAGUGUAACUGCCGAGGUAGAAUACAGUGUAACUGCCGAGGUAGAAUACAGUGUAACUGCCGAGGUAGAAUACAGUGUAACUGCCGAGGUGGAAUACAGUGUAACUGCCGAGGUAGAAUACAGUGUAACUGCCGAGGUAGAAUACAGUGUAACUGCCAAGGUAGAAUACAGUGUGACUGGCGAGGUAGAAUACAGUGUAACUGCCAAGGUAGAAUACAGUGUAACUGCCGAGGUGGAAUACAGUGUAACUGCCGAGGUAGAAUACAGUGUAACUGCCGAGGUAGAAUAUUGAAAGUAGAACAAUCCACUUUAUGUGUUCAUCUUCAGAUUUAGUUUUUAUUGACCUACUUUGCGUCUCUAUGGAUGUUACUGCUCUGAAGAGGCACUCAGUUAAUCACAAUGUGUCCCAUCCUCUCCUGUAAAACGAUUUGCUCUGAGGUAAUAAACAUUAUUAAAGACAAAAAAAAUCUAUAAACUGAUAAAAUUUUAC